UUUUUAACAAUUCAAAGCAAGCAUCAGUUUCACUGCCACCAGAACACACAUGCUGACACGCAUAAGAAUAUAACAAUAUUUUGAAUCAUAGUUACUAUGUGGGCAUUUCAUCGAACACAUAGCAGACGUCGCCCACGUUGAGCUCGAAUCCAAAAUCUAGUUCGCGGCGGCCGCCGGGUGGUAUGAGCGUCCUAGAGGUAGGCAGCCCGACGAAGGGAGAUGGCAGCACCAGCGCACGCCAGUCACCGUGACCAAGUGGCUGAGCGCCGGAUGCCGCCGCACGCUGUGGCAGAACCCCCUAAGUGUUUGGGCCCACCGGCACCUGCCAUUGUCCUAAGGACCUCUGACGGUGAUGCCGGGAGUCCUCCCACCUUAAAAUUCCGAUGAGCAUCGCUGGACGCUCAUUCCACUGCUACCUGUGGCGUACCAAGCUGGCUCGUCCUGACCACUGGUAAUGGUCAAACAUCGAGAACUGCUUCUUCUCGCCCUUACAGGAUAGCAAGUAGCCACCUUAACACCAGGAUCAUUCGUUGCGAAGAUAAAGCAGUAACUCAAACGACACAAGACUAAAAUAAUAUUUCAGAGUAAAACAGCGGAAGUAUUACAUAACUUAAUUUACAAAAGGAGAUCUUCCAAAUAGUAGAGUGUUAUUACAAGCCUGGCCCAGCGGAGCAACUGAAACUUUAGUACAGACAGUACAAAUUUACAGACCCUGCCCAUGGGUCACGCUCACUCUUCUUCGUCGUCAACCUCGACGACGGUCACACAACAGGGUCCGAAGCAAGUCGGCUCCUGUGCUUCACCUGCAACGGGGGUAUUGAAACCCUGAGUACGGGAGUACUCAACAAGACUUACCCGAUGGGGAAAGAGGAGAACUUAGGGAUGCAGGCUUAGGGUAGACAAGGGGUGGCUGAGCAAGGAGCCAAAAUGUUUUGCUAACAGCUUACUAGUAGUGCAUCCUUGUUUUCAAGUUUUAACCGCGAAUUCCUCUCCCGCGGAGGCCGAGGAGUUCGAGGACAGUUUAACUAGUUGUUCCCCACAGCCGAAUCCGUGAGUUCCUAAUCCUAACAUCAAGUAUUAUUUAUCGAUGGCCAUAGCUUCAUGUCGCUAUGAGUCCGGGAAUUGGGAUCCGAACCUCGUGAGACAUUUUCCCCUUUCUCAUUUUAUCAUUCAGUUGCAUAUUUAACUACGAUGAGGGUCGAAGGAAUUGAGUCUCCCAAUCGGGGAGCAACGACGAUUCGAAUCGCUUAGCAAUCCAGCUGGAGUUCCUAACCACUCGACAUAUGUAGAACCAAAUCUUGCAUAUAUCAACCCAAGUCAGGCUCUUCCCAAAUUUGACCAGGUUCGCGGCACCCGAGAGCACAGUACCCCACCAUCCUACAGCCGAUCUAGAUGUUUUCCGGUCAUCUUAGAUCCGUAAGGUGGGCACACGUUACUCUCGCCAUCUUUCCACUCCCAGUGCGCGAGUAGCUGUUCGCGUCGAGGGAUCACAAGACCGGGCUUACGAGGGCAAGUGGCUAGUACUAUAAAUUCUCAACCCAGCAGGCCAUCAACGGAACGGUCCUUAAUCGACACAGUUGGAGACACUACUUUAAGACUCCAUUCUUAAAGCAAGUCCACCGACCGGUCUCAAAUUGAAACAUCAUUGAUCAAAAGUGUAUUCCACAACAACCCUUCAAACUUUGCUUGAAAACCUAUCUAGUAGCAAGGCUAAGCAUCACUACGCAGUUUUUAAAGUAAAACAGGUGCCAAGGACAAGAUAACAAAUAUCAAGGCAGUAAAUGCAGCAAGUAGGUUAACUCAAUUCUCAACUAUCUAAUGCAGCAUUUUCAAUUCAUAAGUGGUAAAAGAUUUAAAACAUCCAAGGAGGGGUUAAUGCAUCCGGGGCUUGCCUUGGUUGCAGGGCAGAGAGGGACCCUCGGAGACUUCCCAAGUCUCGGAUCCUACUUCUUCGAAUGGAGUACCGACCUCGGGGUUCGGUUCCACGGGCGCUCCUUCGGUCACGGACACUAUACGCAAAAUGAUGAAUGCUCAUGAUAUGCGUAUGACAAAUAUGCAAGAAGGACCAAAUCGAGUACAACUUGCCUUCUUGAUGCAAUACAGCAUAAUCAAUAAGUAAAGUUGUUUAAUAUCUUAAUGUUUUUACCCAAGAGGUUGCAUCUGUAAACUAAGACUUUAUUUAAUUCAUAAUUAUCUUAAAUUAGUUAAUUAUUAAUCCUAUUUACCUUAAUUAAUUCUUAAUUAACUACUAAUGACAAUAAUUAAGCAUUAAGGGUAAAUAAUAAUAAAAUGCCAAAGGUCAUUAGGGUUAAUGACCUCAGGUCAUCACACAAUCCCAAAAUCACUCAACCCUAAUUAUGAGGAUCUAAAUAAUCACUAUUUAAUUAUUUUGGAAUUAUUAUUUAAGUGCUAAAUAAGGAUUUAUUAGUAUUUUAAUCAAACAUUAUCCAAAUGCCACCAAAUUUUGUGUGGAGCGAGGGAAUAAUAUUCAGAGGCUCCCCACAAUUUUUGGUGAUUUUUGGACAUACAAAUAAAUUAUUAAAAUUCCUAGAAGUUUUAUUCACUAAUUAAAAGAGCAAAUUUUUACAGACAUGUAAACUACCAGAAAACAGAAUCCACUAUUUUUCUUGUGUUCUACCCACUUUAUGGAACCUAUACAAAAACUUUCAUCAUUUUUGGAUUAGCACACAAUUUAUCACAUAAUUUCAAACAUCAAACAAAAAUUGCAUAAAAAGAAAAAGAAAAAGAUCUUUGCGCAGUGGGCGGCCUGGAUCUUGGCCCGCAGGCCGGCCCAUGCGCGCUCGGCCCACAACCGCGCUGCGCGCGCUGCCCCCCUCUCUCUGAGCGGUCACUGACGAGCGGGUCCCGCUCGUCAGGCCCUCUCUCUGCGGGACGCUGACGGGGCGACCCCACCCGUCAGCUGCGUCCUCACCGCGCACGGCGGUUCGGCCACGGCUCCGGCCGCCGUUGGCGAGGGUCUCGGCCGGAGUGCGCGUGCGCAUCGGCUUCACUUCAACUCCGCGACACUGUGGACACCCCCUACCCACGCUCUACCCUACCUCUUCCACCUCGGUCACGAGAAGGGCGGGCAGCCGCCAUGGCCGACCCUCGGCCGGACGCUAGGGCCCGGUAGAGUGCAAGCCGACGGCCGAACGAGCUUCCAUAGGGGUUGGGGAGGGUGGUGCUCACGCUGCAAGGCUCGGCGAAGCAGCUGAAGCCGCUGGCGACGGAAGCAGUGUCGUCGGGCGGGAGCUCUGGCUCCGGCAAGCUUGUUCCGGCGAUCCUGCUCACAUUCAAGGAGAAGGAGCGAGAGCAUGAGCAACCGGGGCACGGAAGGAACUUGAAACAGUCGCCAGCGGGGUGUGAUACUCACUGGAACACCGUGGCCACGGGAAGAGCUCCGCGGCGGCGGUCUCGGCCGGAGUUGGAGAAGAGGGAGGAGCUCGGGCGUUUGAGGGGGUUAGAGAGGGAGCUUGGGGGUGCACUGGGUCCGCACGAAGGUGACGAAGACGCUGGGUUGCUCAAUUUGGCUCGGGAAGGAGUGGUUAUGGUGAAUUGAAGAGGGGAGCUCGUCGGGGUUCUCUGGCUCAGGACGGAGGAAACGCGCGGCGGCGCCCACGCUGGUGCUCAAAGGGGAGAAGGGAACGAGCCUGGGGCGUCCACGUCGCCUGGCGACGCUAGCAGGCAGGCAGGCUGCGUGCCUGCGCGCGCGCACGCGGCGCUGCGCGCGCGGCGGCCGUACUGGACAGGGAGCCGGUGAUCCCUAUCGGGUCACUGUAGGAGACCCUUAUCCCCUCUUUUCUGGACUUUGUGAAAUUCAGCCGAAAUUUGAACUGGAGUCAAAUUUGUGUGAAAACAAAAGUUGUUCCAAAUUUUAUAAACUACAAAUCAUCUUUUGGUGGCCAGGGCUGAUUCUGAGUAGAAAAUAGCUAAUUUGGCCAAACAGUUUUGAAAUUGAACUCAAUUCAAAGAAAUUCAAAUUUUUGAAUUGGGGACAAAAUAGGAUUUCCAAAAUUACUUUUGAUUUUGCAUAACAACUUGAAAAACUCCCAACAUGAAAGUUGCUCAACUUUUUGUGCUCUACAACUUUCAUGUUGACCACUUUUUAAAAUUCCAAAUGGAUUUUGAUUUGGGGGUUUAAGUUGGAAAAGGGGACACUUUCUGGAAAUCUGUAUUUUCAAAAUUACUUUGAAUUUUGUAUUGAAACUUCAAAAACUCAAAACACCAAAGUUGUACAUCUUGCCAAGAGCUACAACUUUGCUUUUGAACUCAACCUCAAAUUUUGCUUGGUUUUUGACUUAUGCAAAAGGGGGCAAAUCUAGGAUCCAAAAAUCAGGGUUCCCCCCCCUUGCUCUCGGAAAUCUUCCACCCUAGGGUUUUUAGCAACCACACAAGCAUCAACACACCGCAUAAGCACACUCUACCUCCCUAAGCUCAAGCAAUCAAAGUAAACUUGUUUUAAGUUGAUGCAUACUAAUGUGCUUAACAAAUAUGCUUUGCAAUGCUCAUGAUGACAUGAUCCGUUUUUAGUAACCAUAACAUCGGGGAUGUUACACACGCGAGUCACCGUGACUGAGCGGCUGAGCGCCGGUUCCCGCCGCAUGCUCGAAGCCCUAGAAGGAAUGGAGGACGGGAUUAGAUGAUGCAGCAGGCACGAACGCACGUCGGGCACCACGCUCGAGCGUCUGAGCUCCGCACAUCGCCAGACGCUCAAAACACCAAAGCCGUGCCACCACGUUGUACCUCGAGAGAUUCUGAGGGUGGUCGGCGGAAUGGUGCUACAGCGAGCGACGGCGACGGCCUGGCGCCCUAACCUCAGCAGCGGUGUUGAUGAAGGCGGGCGGCAUCGGGCGAUCGGCGAUAGGCGCUGUUUGAGCAGGGUGGGGUGGAGAGGCACGAGGCGGACGAGAGCUGCAGCUUCUGCGUCAUGCAGUUGGGGCACCGUAAGGUCAAGGCCGUCGCUGCCGAUUGGGAGCUAGGGUGGCACCACUGCCGCCGAUUGGGAAGGAGGGACGGGCAAACCGAUUGGGGGACAUCGGGAUGCUGUGA
rnacentral:lncRNA from 1 species